rnacentral:rRNA from 1 species
GAUGAACGCUGGCGGCGUGCCUAAUACAUGCAAGUCGAGCGAAUGGAUUAAGAGCUUGCUCUUAUGAAGUUAGCGGCGGACGGGUGAGUAACACGUGGGUAACCUGCCCAUAAGACUGGGAUAACUCCGGGAAACCGGGGCUAAUACCGGAUAACAUUUUGAACCGCAUGGUUCGAAAUUGAAAGGCGGCUUCGGCUGUCACUUAUGGAUGGACCCGCGUCGCAUUAGCUAGUUGGUGAGGUAACGGCUCACCAAGGCAACGAUGGGUAGCCCACGUGAGGGGGUGGUCGGCCACACUGGGACUGAGACACGGCACAGACUCCUAGGGGAGGCAGCAGUAGGGAAUCUUCCGCAAUGGACGAAAGUCUGACGGAGCAACGCCGCGUGAGUGAUGAAGGCUUUCGGGUCGUAAAACUCUGUUGUUAGGGAAGAACAAGUGCUAGUUGAAUAAGCUGGCACCUUGACGGUACCUAACCAGAAAGCCACGGCUAACUACGUGCCAGCAGCCGCAGUAA